rnacentral:rRNA from 1 species
CCUACGGGAGGCAGCAGUGGGGAAUAUUGGGCAAUGGGCGCAAGCCUGACCCAGCAACGCCGCGUGAAGGAAGAAGGCUUUCGGGUUGUAAACUUCUUUUAAGAGGGAAGAGCAGAAGACGGUACCUUUUGAAUAAGCCACGGCUAACUACGUGCCAGCAGCCGCGGUAAUACGUAGGUGGCAAGCGUUGUCCGGAUUUACUGGGUGGAAAGGGCGUGCAGCCGGGAAGGCAAGUCAGAUGUGAAAUCCCGCGGCUCAACCGCGGAACUGCAUUUGAAACUGUUUUUCUUGAGUACCGGAGAGGUAAGCGGAAUGCCUAGUGUAGCGGUGAAAUGCGUAGAUAUUAGGAAGAACACCAGUGGCGAAGGCGGAUGACUGGACGGCAACUGACGGUGAGGCGCGAAAGCGUGGGGAGCAAACAGGAUUAGAUACCCUAGUAGUC